GAUGAACGCUGGCGGCGUGCCUAAUACAUGCAAGUCGAGCGAACAGAUGAGGAGCUUGUUCCUCUGACGUUAGCGGCGGACGGGUGAGUAACACGUGGAUAACCUACCUAUAAGACUGGGAUAACUUCGGGAAACCGGAGCUAAUACCGGAUAAUAUAUUGAACCGCAUGGUUCAAUAGUGAAAGACGGUUUUGCUGUCACUUAUAGAUGGAUCCGCGCCGCAUUAGCUAGUUGGUAAGGUAACGGCUUACCAAGGCGACGAUGCGUAGCCGACCUGAGAGGGUGAUCGGCCACACUGGAACUGAGACACGGUCCAGACUCCUACGGGAGGCAGCAGUAGGGAAUCUUCCGCAAUGGGCGAAAGCUUGACGGAGCAACGCCGCGUGAGUGAUGAAGGUCUUCGGAUCGUAAAACUCUGUUAUUAGGGAAGAACAAAUGUGUAAGUAACUAUGCACGUCUUGACGGUACCUAAUCAGAAAGCCACGGCUAACUACGUG
rnacentral:rRNA from 1 species